rnacentral:rRNA from 1 species
UGGGGAAUAUUGGACAAUGGGCGCAAGCCUGAUCCAGCCAUGCCGCGUGCGGGAAGAAGGCCUUCGGGUUGUAAACCGCUUUUGUCAGGGAAGAAACGAGUUUCUCUAAUACAGAGACUUAAUGACGGUACCUGAAGAAUAAGCACCAGCUAACUACGUGCCAGCAGCCGCGGUAAUACGUAGGGUGCAAGCGUUAAUCGGAAUUACUGGGCGUAAAGCGUGCGCAGGCGGUUAUGCAAGACAGAUGUGAAAUCCCCGGGCUCAACCUGGGAACUGCAUUUGUGACUGCAUAGCUGGAGUGCGGCAGAGGGGGAUGGAAUUCCGCGUGUAGCAGUGAAAUGCGUAGAUAUGCGGAGGAACACCGAUGGCGAAGGCAAUCCCCUGGGCCUGCACUGACGCUCAUGCACGAAAGCGUGGGGAGCAAACA